GUGGCACUACUUUACUUAAACUUCCAGAUCUUCACCCUCCUUUCCAUUCUCUUCCCGACAUCCAUUGGUGAAGUCAAGCUAGGUCUUGUCUUGUACCAACCACGUGAACUCCAACACCGCCUUCUCUUGCAUCAACUAUGACUGCAAUGACCGUCUCUAGUGCAACAAUGUCAGUGGUGCUACUCCCACCUCCUUUGACACAAAUGAAGGCCCUCCAGGAAAAUGGUGACUAUGUCUCUUAUGAUGUGAGCCUCAUGGAUGGUUUCAACGUAUUUUAUACCGUACGAGACAGCUUUCUCCUACGAUGUCACGCUUAUCGUCAACGAGUUUAAGGUUCUCUACGAUGUGUUUUACCUACUCGAAUAUACUGUGUGACUAUGUUUGACACUGAAUAGCGAGUUAAAGAGAAAUUGGGAUUUUUGUUCUUUACUCUUUCUACGAAGGUGCCUCUAUUAUAAAUUCUAAUAAUCUUUUAAUGCAAUUUUAGUUUUGUUCUUUUACUCAAAAACUGAUAGUGGUGGUUUUUUGUGCUUUAAUAAUCUUGUUGGAGAAUUAGAGGAUGUGUUGGCAAUAAUAGGAAAAGCU
rnacentral:lncRNA from 1 species